rnacentral:misc_RNA from 1 species
GGCGGCGGCGGCGCGCAGGUACUGGAUCGACAGAAUCUUCGGCAUGGCCGGGGGCUGCGCUCUUUUACUCAAUCGUUACCAUCGCUACUCAGCUUUGAUUAAAGAUGCAGCCGGAGGAAGGCACGGUUGCGUGACGAGAGCCGGUAACCGCCGCCGCCGUUAAGGAUAACUGUUAAGAGUCGGGAACCUGUUUUUCGCUACAUCUGUGGAGUUGAUACCUAACGCCCCGCAGAGGACGGACAUGGCUGCUUUGGCAGAACUUCCGCAGACGUCGCGACGUCUGCUUCUCGCAUCGGAUUGUGAGGACCAAAGCGAAGACCUCGCGCGCAUUCUGAGGAAUGCAGGCAGCGUGG